AUUGAACGCUGGCGGCAGGCCUAACACAUGCAAGUCGAACGAGUGGCGGACGGGUGAGUAACGUCUGGGACACUGCCCGAUGGAGGGGGAUAACUACUGGAAACGGCAGCUAAUACCGCAUACUAUCGGAUCUGCCCAGAUGGGAUUAGCUAGUUGGCGGGGUAAAGGCUCACCAAGGCGACGAUCCCUAGCUGGUCUGAGAGGAUGACCAGCCACACUGGAACUGAGACACGGUCCAGACUCCUACGUGAGGCAGCAGUGGGGAAUAUGGCACAAGGGGGGCAAGCCUGAGGCAGCCAUGCCGCGUGUAUGAAGAAGGCCUUCGGGUUGUAAAGGUCUGUCGGCGAGGAGGCGUUACUCGCAGAAGAAGCACCGGCUAACUCCGUGCCAGCAGCCGCGGUAAUUC
rnacentral:rRNA from 1 species